GCCCCGCCCCGCUCCGCGGUCCGCAGCCGCAGGCCUCGCGCGGAGCGUAGCCGGGGGUCGCGGUCUCGGGCCUGGAAGCGCGAGGGACGAGGCUGCGGGCACUGGAGCCCCGGGGGAAAGAGGGCGAGUCCUUCCUGAGAGGAUUGGGCCAGAGCGAAGACUGCGGUCAAGGGAAGUGGAGCCGCCCGGCCCAAAGCUCGGAGAGCGCCGGCCGCCUCCCCCACGAGUGGAAACUUGAAACUCCCGCUGGUGCCAGCAAACUCACUGCGGGCGUCUCCAUCGCCCCCGAAGGAGGAAUUCUUCCCAGAGGGAUUCGGGGACCAAAUUGGGCGUGUUACUUGGCUGUUUGCUUUGAAAAUCAUGUACUAGCAGAGAGAAAUGGGCCUACCUGAGAGGAACUUGUAUUCGCAACGAAGAAGGUUUAAAUUAUUUUGGCAGGUUUUAACCAACUAGAAAAACUUGCUUUUUUUCAGGGACAGUUUUUAAACUCCACCCCAAACCUCAAUAGAUAUCGCCCCAAAUCAGGAGUGCAAGUUUUAAUCCAAGCAAGGAUAUGUGAUUUUUUUUAUUGCCAACGACAAUCUUUGGCAGUUGGAAGGAGUGGGCUAGGAAGAAAAAGUUGGAGGUAGGGCCCCAAAGAGCAGCCAAACCUGAAUUAUUCUAGAUUUAGAGAAAGUUAGGCAUUCAGUCGUAGUCUAACUCUAGCCCCUCAUUUUAGCUAGUGGCUGGGGUUAGACUGAAAUCUCCUGAAUUCCGGAUCAGUGUUCUGUUACCUACUCCAUGCUUCCUCCUCUCAGUAUUUUCUGCUGAGAUUCUAAGAGCAAAAUUUGCUAUGAGUGUACAAACAGCAAGUGCACAAAAUCAGAGUAGCCUGGCUUGCCCUGUUUGCAGUUUAGCUUCUCUUUUGUGAACAAACUUUAGAUGCAGAUAACAAAACUCAUCAAUGUACUUUUUUUCCCCUGCCAAAUAGCUUGUCUAGAAUCAAUGUACUUUUAUAGAAUAAAUAAUUCAUAUCCAUUCUGCCUUAGUAUUUACCUUCGUUGAGAUAGUAUUUUUUCCAGGAACUAUCUCCAGAUCACUUUCACUAAGCUUCCUCUUCAGUGAGUUAUCACUAUCGCCCUUUGAAAGGUCUCUAAACAAUUAAAAGCCUCAAGAGACUCCAGGGGUUGAACUCAAAGGCAAAUUCCUCAAGGAUGGAAAGCAGGUAAUGAGCAGAUGUUGUAAGAAGGUUUGAGGGAGACACAUGUCACACAUGAGCAUGAAAACCUAGUCUUCACACGAACUACAAAAGGAUUAAGAAGAGAACACCACAUGGAGAAGGGAAGAGUGAAGGGAAGUUCCUUAAGAGAAGAAGCAGGAGGAAAAGCAACCAGCUUUGGAGACUGACUAUCAAUAUGGGGUUGAUCUUUGGAUAUAAGGAUGUUUAUAACCAAAGGUUUCAAGGUAAGUUGAGACACACUGGGAAGUGUAGAAUUUAUCCUUCAUCCUUGAGGAAAUAGGAAUUCAUGCAUAAGAGGUGUUAAGAAGAGAAAUAAUGUGAUCUGGCUUAUAUUUUAGUAAGGUUACUCGCAGCCACGUGAAUUGCCUGGUUCAGUGACAGUGAGAGUAAGAUGGCGAGACCACCAGUGGCACUUUAGAUAACACAGUUUUGCUAUAAAGGUCCAUGCAAGUGAGAAUGAGGGUCUGAACUUAGGAGGUUGUGAGGAUGGAGAGGAAAUAGAAUCUGUUAAAAGAUUUGGAGAUAGACUUUGAGAGAAAAAGAAAAGGAGAUGUGAAAAUGAUUUCAAGGUGGGUACCAUUAAGGUAAAUGGAGAGUGUAAAAGAAGUAGAACUGAGAGAUCAAGAUAAUUAGGCAAGUUGGGAA